rnacentral:rRNA from 1 species
AUAAUUUGUUAUUAAUUUGAUUUAUAUGUAAAUUUUUGUGUGAUUUUAUAUUAAUUUUAAAAAUUUUUGUAAUUUUUAUAUCCGCAGUAAUUAAUUUUAUUGAUUAAAGAAAUUUAGAAAUAGCAAUAUUAAAGAGUAUAGAUAAAAUUGGUGCCAGCAAUCGCGGUUAUACCAAUUAUACAAAUGAAUUAAAUUAGUAAAAGUUAAAUUGAUUUUUUUAUAAAUUAAAUUAAAUUUAUUAAGUGAAAUUUUAAAUUUAAAUUUUUUAUUAAUUAAAGAAUUGAAGCUUGAAAAUUUUAAUAAA